rnacentral:rRNA from 1 species
UACGGAGGGUCCAAGCGUUAUCCGGAAUCAUUGGGUUUAAAGGGUCCGUAGGCGGUUUUGUAAGUCAGUGGUGAAAGCCCAUCGCUCAACGGUGGAACGGCCAUUGAUACUGCAAGACUUGAAUUAUUAGGAAGUAACUAGAAUAUGUAGUGUAGCGGUGAAAUGCUUAGAGAUUACAUGGAAUACCAAUUGCGAAGGCAGGUUACUACUAAUUGAUUGACGCUGAUGGACGAAAGCGUGGGUAGCGAACAGG